rnacentral:rRNA from 1 species
AAGGAUCAUUACCGAGAUAGGGUGCCGGCCUAAACCCCCGGCGCCCGACCUCCAACCCUGUGUCUACAUUACCACUGUUGCCUCGGCGGGCCGUCGAAAGUCUAGCGAUAGGCCCAGCCGUCGGCCCCUCAAUAGGGGGCCCUCGAGCGCCCGUCGAAGGACCUUAUCAAACCAAUUUGAAACGAGCCUUCUGAGUAAAAUUUUAAUACUUCAAAACUUUCAACAACGGAUCUCUUGGUUCUGGCAUCGAUGAAGAACGCAGCGAAAUGCGAUAAGUAUUGUGAAUUGCAGAAUUCAGUGAAUCAUCGAAUCUUUGAACGCACAUUGCGCCCCUUGGUAUUCCGGGGGGCAUGCCUGUUCGAGCGUCAUUGAAACAACCUCAAGCACUGCUUGGCAUUGGGUCUCUCGUCCCCGCCGUGGACGGACCCUAAAGACCUCGGCGGCGGCGCGAAGCCUCAAGCGUAGUAGAAAUAUCCCGCUUUGGAGACUCCGUGACCGCUCGCUCCUAAAAACCCACACCUCAAAUGUUGACCUCGGAUCAGGUAGGGAUACCCGCUGAACUUAAGCAUAUCAAUAAGCGGAGGAAAAGAAACCAACAGGGAUUGCCCCAGUAACGGCGAGUGAAGCGGCAUCAGCUCAAAUUUGAAAUCUGGCGUCUUCGGCGCCCGAGUUGUAAUUUGUAGAGGGAGUUCCGGCAUCGGGCCCGUACUAGGUUCCUUGGAACAGGACGUCAUAGAGGGUGAGAACCCCGUCUUCGUUCGGGACGCCUUUGCCAUGUGGAACCCUUUCGACGAGUCGAGUUGUUUGGGAAUGCAGCUCUAAAUGGGAGGUAAAUUUCUUCUAAAGCUAAAUACCGGCCAGAGACCGAUAGCGCACAAGUAGAGUGAUCGAAAGAUGAAAAGCACUUUGGAAAGAGAGUUAAAAAGCACGUGAAAUUGUUGAAAGGGAAGCUCAUGCAGCCAGACUUGGCCGCGGUUGUUCAGCCGUCCUUCUGGGCGGUGUACUCUUCCGCGGGCAGGCCAGCAUCAGUUCUGGGGGCCGUACAAAGGUUAGGGAAACGUAGCUCUCCUUCGGGGGAGUGUUAUAGUCUCAAACGUAAUGCGGCCACCCGGGACUGAGGACCGCGCAUUGCAAGGAUGCUGGCGUAAUGGUUGUAUGCGACC